UCAGUUAACGGAUUCACUCUGAGCGCCGUCACACACUUGUGCGGGAUAUCAUUUGCCUGAAACCCGGUUCCCUUAAAGCGAAAAGCCCCCCCACCCAAAAAGUUCAGCCAUGGAAGAUGAAAUCGCCGCACUGGUUGUUGACAACGGAUCCGGUAUGUGCAAAGCCGGAUUCGCCGGAGACGACGCUCCUCGUGCUGUCUUCCCUUCCAUCGUAGGCCGCCCCAGGCAUCAGGGUGUGAUGGUCGGUAUGGGCCAGAAAGACAGCUACGUUGGUGAUGAAGCCCAGAGCAAGAGGGGUGAUCAAA